rnacentral:lncRNA from 1 species
UUUGUUUUCGCCGAACGCAUUCGCGUCCUCAUCCUUUUUUAUGCAUAAAUUAUUGUGUUUUUAUCGUAAUUUUCUUAGUUUGGUUUGUUAUCUUCAAAUUUUUUAGUUCAAUAUUUGGUAUCUAAAAAGCUCGAUGAUGGAAAAUCUAUAUAAAAUUGAGAGGCUGUGAUUCAUCAGUUGCCUUUCUGCAUCACCUGAAAAUCAGCAUGAAAAAUUCAUUUUUUAAAAUCCCUUCCUCCUUCCCCUAAAUAUAUUUGUAGAGCUGAUCUUUUAUGGUGAUGUGUGAAAGGCUUCUCAUGAGUUCCAUCACGAUUUAAGCCGUCUGUGAUUCUGAAGCUAUGAGAUCUGAGGGCUUUUCAGGAAAAUUUUAUUUUUGUUUGGAUUUUGUUUUUGAGAGUAUUGCUUUAUGGUUUAUUUUUGUGAUAAUUUGUGUUGCUCUUUAUUUAAUCAUUGGAAAUAUUAAAUCUAUGCAUAGUAUUUCAUAAUUAUAGAUCAAAAGGGACAUUUAAUAUUCGUUAAAUAGGAUUUACAAAUUUGUUGGUCAUUUUACUCAUGCUUUUGUAGUAAAUCUGCACUCAUGUUCUCGACCAUUAAAAAGUCCCAUUAUUUUCUUGCUAUUCUAGAUUAUGAAUGUACUCCCACUUCCAUUGUUAUUAUCCCCAAAGAACCGUUUGCAAUUCUAGAUUAUUUUCUACAAAUAUAUGUAUUCUAGGGUUUUACUUGGAUUCAAUUUUUUUUUAAGUAUUUUUUUUUUGUAUCGUUAAAAUCAAAUAGCAUUUCUUUUUAGAUGAACUGUUUGUUGCUUUAUUUCUCAGUCGUCAUGAACAGCCACAUAUUUUUUGUUAGUAUGCUGUAAAUAACUUCAAUGGUCUCUAUAUAUUCGUCUGUCUUGAAAAAAUGGAGCCCAGUUAGUGUGUUCACGAAGUGAGAAUCUUUUCUAAUUUUUAGUUGCUAGAAUAAGAUCUAGA